AUGGCUCAGGAUGAACGCUAGCGGCAGGCUUAACACAUGCAAGUCGAGGGGCAUCGGGAGUAGCAAUACUUGCCGGCGACCGGCGCAAGGGUGCGUAACGCGUGAGCAACAUGCCCGUAUCAGGGGGAUAAUCCAUGGAAACGUGGUCUAAUACCCCAUAGUAAUUAUGUAAGGCAUCUUAUAUAAUUUAAAGCUUUGGUGGAUACGGAUUGGCUCGCGUGACAUUAGCUAGAUGGUAAGGUAACGGCUUACCAUGGCUACGAUGUCUAGGGGUUCUGAGAGGAAGGUCCCCCACACUGGAACUGAGACACGGUCCAGACUCCUACGGGAGGCAGCAGUGAGGAAUAUUGGACAAUGGAUGGAAAUCUGAUCCAGCCAUGCCGCGUGAAGGAAGAAGGUCCUAUGGAUUGUAAACUUCUUUUGUAUGGGAGCAAUAAGGCCUACGAGUACGGUUGAUGAGAGUACCAUACGAAUAAGCACCGGCUAACUCCGUGCCAGCCGCGGC
rnacentral:rRNA from 1 species